UAGGGAAUCUUCGGCAAUGGACGGAAGUCUGACCGAGCAACGCCGCGUGAGUGAAGAAGGUUUUCGGAUCGUAAAGCUCUGUUGUAAGAGAAGAACGAGUGUGAGAGUGGAAAGUUCACACUGUGACGGUAUCUUACCAGAAAGGGACGGCUAACUACGUGCCAGCAGCCGCGGUAAUACGUAGGUCCCGAGCGUUGUCCGGAUUUAUUGGGCGUAAAGCGAGCGCAGGCGGUUAGAUAAGUCUGAAGUUAAAGGCUGUGGCUUAACCAUAGUAGGCUUUGGAAACUGUUUAAUUUGAGUGCAAGAGGGGAGAGUGGAAUUCCAUGUGUAGCGGUGAAAUGCGUAGAUAUAUGGAGGAACACCGGUGGCGAAAGCGGCUCUCUGGCUUGUAACUGACGCUGAGGCUCGAAAGCGUGGGGAGCAAACAGGAUUAGAUACCCUGGUAGUCCACGCUGUAAACGAUGAGUGCUAGGUGUUAGACCCUUUCCGGGGUUUAGUGCCGUAGCUAACGCAUUAAGCACUCCGCCUGGGGAGUACGACCGCAAGGUUG
rnacentral:rRNA from 1 species